GCCUGGCUGGUUCAGUCGGAAGAGCACAAGACUCUUAAUCUCUGGGUCGUGAGUUUGAGCCCCACGUUGGGUA
rnacentral:tRNA from 1 species